UACGGAGGGUGCAAGCGUUAAUCGGAAUUACUGGGCGUAAAGCGCACGCAGGUGGCUGAGUCAGUCGAUUGUGAAAGCCCUGGGCUUAACCUGGGAAUUGCAGUCGAUACUACUCAGCUAGAGUAUGGGAGAGGGCAGUGGAAUUCCCGGUGUAGCGGUGAAAUGCGUAGAUAUCAGGAAGAACACCGGUGGCGAAGGCGGCUCUCUGGGCCUUACCUGACGCUGAGGAGCGAAAGCGUGGGUAGCGAACAGG
rnacentral:rRNA from 1 species